GACGAACGCUGGCGGCGUGCUUAACACAUGCAAGUCGAACGGAAAGGCCCUGCUUUUGUGGGGUGCUCGAGUGGCGAACGGGUGAGUAACACGUGAGUAACCUGCCCUUGACUUUGGGAUAACUUCAGGAAACUGGGGCUAAUACCGGAUAGGAUCUCCUGCUGCAUGGUGGGGGUUGGAAAGUUUCGGCGGUUGGGGAUGGACUCGCGGCUUAUCAGCUUGUUGGUGGGGUAGUGGCGUACCAAGGCUUUGACGGGUAGCCGGCCUGGGAGGGUGACCGGCCACAUUGGGACUGAGAGACGGCCCAGACUCCUACGGGAGGCAGCAGGGGGGAAUAUUGCACAAUGGGCGGAAGCCUGAUGCAGCAACGCCGCGUGCGGGAUGACGGCCUUCGGGUUGUAAACCGCUUUCGCCUGUGACGAAGCGUGAGUGACGGUAAUGGGUAAAGAAGCACCGGCUAACUACGUG
rnacentral:rRNA from 1 species